CUAUAGUGCAUAGUAUAGUUGAGAAGUUGCAUAUAUUUAUUGCUUAUAAUAAUACAAAUGAUAUAUCUUUUAGUAAAAUGAUUUUUCUUUAUAAAAAUGGAAGUAAUAGUGCAUCUAAUAAUGUUCAUGUUGCAAUAAUUUUGUGCGGAUGUUCUGAAUUUUUACAUCUCACGACCGGUACGCAUGUACUCGGGUAAAUCGAAUGAAUGGAAGCUCUGAAAAGUAAGAUUUGCGAUUUUAAUCGCUUUCAAAAUUUUUUGACAGAAUGAGUACAUGUAAAUUAAUCCAGCGAAGAUGCUACGAUCUACUUUCACACAAGUACUCACUCCUGAUCAUUGUGAUUGCGUUCACCUGUGUAUUUAUUGGAGUCAUCCACUUUGGCGAGGUGUGGAUACAAUGGAGCAAGGAGAAAUAUGAAGCAGUAUUUCACUCUUUCAAUGACAAUAUACUCGGCAUAUCAUUUCAAAAGAAAUUGUGCCAACACGUCCCGAUCGAUGUUGUAUAUACUUGGGUCAAUGGAUCAGAUCCAGCUUUCCUUCAAAAUCUCGAAAAACAUGUUCCAAUAGUAGACAUUAAUUCAGCUGUCUCUAGAUUUAGUGAUAAAGAUGAGUUGAGAUACUCUCUCAGAUCAUUGGAAAUGUAUGCGCCUUGGGUCAGACACGUUUAUAUCGUGACCAAUGGACAAAUACCAAGUUGGUUGGAUAUGGACAAUUCACGUGUGACUGUUGUCACCCAUGAUGAUAUUUUCAUUGAUAAAAGUGAUUUACCUACCUUUUCUAGUCCUGCCAUAGAAAGUCACAUUCAUAGAAUCUCAGGUCUUUCUGACAAAUUUUUAUACUUCAAUGACGACGUUAUGUUGGGUGCUGAAGUUUGGCCCGAGGAUUUUAUAACACAUGCAGAAGGUCAAAAAGUGUAUUUAGCCUGGUGGGUGCCAGAUUGUUCCGAUGUUUGUCCCUGGGCUUGGGUCAGUGAUGGAGCUUGCGAUCCAAGUUGUAAUACCACGUUGUGUGAAUUUGAUGGAGGAGAUUGUGAUCCGUUGCCAAUUUCUACGGACAGUGAAGGUAUUGAAGACGAAAGUGACUAUCCGUAUAAAUUUCUGCGGGAGUCACAACUUAGGGCCAGGGAAGCCGAAAGAUUAUUAAACGCUUUAAAAAUGUCCACCUCUCAGUCGCCCAUCGAAGACAUAACAAAUUUAAUUUUUUUGCGAGUCUUGCAAUCCUACAAAAAACAAGUUGAAAACAAAGUGAGAAAUAUCACAGAAAGUAAUCGAUCAUCCUAUACAAAAAAUUAUACAAAUUUGUUGAACCUGAAACAAGUUGCAAACGAGAGUAGAACCUCAACUCAUGGAAAGCGAAGAUUAUUACCGGCUAAAAUUUUUAAAUCUGACAAUUUAGAGAGCUUAAAUGACACGGAACUUCGAAUGCAACAAAAACAUUUUCUAAACGACGACAUCAUUAAUUUAGUACAAGUUAAUAAUACUGCAAAAUCUUAUAAACUAAAAUACGCUGAUCAAUUGAAACGAAAACCAAGACAGCUUGAUACAUACGCAGAAUCCUUGUUAUACGUGAAUAGGAUAUAUAAUUUAGCUUACGGUUUUCAGAGGCGAAGAGUUCCCGCUCAUAUGCCUCAUUUACUAGACAAGUGGAUUAUUAACGACAUGCAAGCAAAAUUUCAAGAUGAAUUCAAGAAAACUUCUAGUCACAAAGUCAGAAGCGCAGAAGAUAUGCAGUUCGCCUUCUCUUAUUUUUACUUCGUAGCGAGCGAAAAACGAAAUCUGCCUACUUCAAAUAUAUUCAACAGAUUCGACACUGACAAGUCUCAAACUUGGUCUGAUAGAGAAAUUCGAACACUAUUGUCAAGAAUGCAUCCUUUGCCGUUGGAUUAUAGCUUGGUUAUGGAUUUUGAAAAUUCUAUCACGAAUUGUUCACGAAAAGUGCAAAUUCAGGAAACGCCAUCACCGCCUUCUGGAGAGAGAUAUUUAGACUCAACACUCCCUGUUGUAUCAAAAGAAUUAGUUCUUAAGUGUGACUCGAUCAGUCAAAAGCUUCAGGCUAAAUUUGGUGAGCAGAAACGAUAUAAACACGAAGUGGUUAAAGCAGGGAAGAACGAAAUUUUCGAGAUGCUGACGAGUAAUAUAUCAAUGACUGUUCAAAUUUUAGAUGAGAUACGAAGAGAACCAAAGAAAUUUAUAUGUUUAAACGAUGAUAUGGACCCAAAUCGUCGAUCAGAGAACGAAGUAGUGCGAGCAUUACUGAAUGACUUUUAUCGAUCGCUCUAUCCCAUAAAAAGCAGUUUCGAAUUACCAGCUCAAUACAGAAAUCGCUUUUCGCAUCGGCACGAACUGUUUGAGUGGAGAGCAAGUAGAGCCAAAGCUAGAAAUUUGCUUCUGGUCCUCGUUGCCGUGCUACUAAUAUUAACAUUUUACCAUCUUUUUCACCACCAAAUAAGAAGAAUACUGAGAAUUCGAACACUGCCUCCUCUUCUUGUUUGACAAGGCCAACAAUAGAAUUUUGGGCUUUCUGGGCCAACAACAAAGGAAAAGGCUGAGAGGUUUCACUUGACUAGGAAUACAAAAAUACCCUACUGACUGAUUCGCUGAGAACAAGCAUAAUCCAACACACUCUUGAAGAACACUGGGUGACCUGCCUGGAACGUCGGAGAAGCGGCGAGGAGUUUGCUCUGCUUAAACACUGGGAAUACUGACGGGAUAAGACGACAUGGGUAGAAUGAGUGCUGCUCGCUCGAGAAUUUAUGAACCAACCUCACCUACGUCAUGUCCAUCUUGCUCCUCCCUGAUUAGUCGGAAUUCAGAUACUUCCACAACAUCGCGUGGACAAAAACAGUACUAAAGCAAUGCCGUAUGAUGUAAAACGAUAAGAACAUACGAAUAACCAAAUACGUAGUAUGCUGAAAAGGCAACUUCAAUGCCUUCCACAACAUCUAGAACUGUGAUAAGAACGCUGUUCUCGAUAACAACUACAACCUGAGCAUUGGGAUCAAAAAUGGACGUUCCUGAAGAAAAAAUAAAAUUUGGUAAUUCAUUUUCAAAUAAAAAUGAAUUUAACUAAACUAAAAGCGAUUUGAAACAAGAUGUCAAUUUAAUUACAAACUGAAUUGAUAAAAAACAAUGCAUGUACCUCUGAUCAUAACAGUUGGAUACACUGUUGGUGCCAGCAUCUUUGUUACAUCAUCAGUGGUUUCGAUCUUAAAAAUUAAAAAACAAUUUAAUCAGAAAAAA